rnacentral:misc_RNA from 1 species
CCGAGUUUACAACUCCCAAACCCCUGUGAACAUACCACUAUGUUGCCUCGGCGGAUCAGCCCGCGCCCCGUAAAACGGACGGCCCGCCAGAGGAACCCUAAACUCUGUUUCUAUAGUGGAACUUCUGAGUAAAACCAUAAAUAAAUCA